GCUGAAAAAGAAGACAUUUAUUAAUUAUUGUAUUACUUAAUAAUUAAUGUUUCAGUAGUACAGUCAGCAUCAAUAGUAGCGGAUGAAACAACGCGCAAAAAGUAACUGACAUUCCGGAUAACUUUUCCAAAAUAGAUAAAUCUCUCAAAUUUACGUUCAAAAGUAUAUUAUUUAUAGUCUCAAUUGUUCUGCAUAUAGAACUAUCACUUUUUGUUAAGCUGUUACAGAAUGGUAGAUACUUUUGAAACCUUGUUUGAUCCGCUACUUUUGAUGCUGACUGUACUAUAAAUAAAUAAGUAAGCUUAGAGUAAAUAAUAAGUUGUAUGGGAGGUAUGGUAAAACGUAUUAUGAAUAAAUUUAAAACUCGUUUUAAAGAUAAUACUAAUGAAGCUUCAAGGAUGACAAGUUAGAACGACCGGGGCCCCGGUCGAGGCUUCCGACACUUCUUUUUCUAUGACAUGUGAUCGGUGAUCAUGUGAUGAUUACAGGUGAUCGGUGAUCACGUGAUGAUUACAGGUGAUAGGUGAUCACGUGAUGUUUACAGGUGAUCGGUGAUCACGUGAUGCUUUCUAUAGAAAACUGAACUUUCUAUGUAUUUAAGUAUUUAUAAAUAUUUAUAUAUUACAUAUAUCGUUGUCUAAGUACCCUCAACACAAGCCUUAUUGAGCUUACUGUGGGACUUAACAAUUUGUGUAAUAAUGUCCUAUAAUAUUUAAUAUGUAAACUACUAUACAUAUCGCGUCGAAUGAUGGUCUCUAUAACAGCUCAUUUUUAUAUAGAAUAAAUAAAAUAAUAAUAAAUAUUAUACGACAUUAUUACACAAAUUGACUAAGUCCCACGGUAAGCUCAAUAAGGCUUGUGUUGAGGGUACUUAGAACAACGAUAUAUAUAAUAUUUAUAAAUACUUAAAUACAUAGAAAACACCCAUAUAUGACUCAGGAACAAAUAUCCAUGCUCAUCACACGAAUAAAUGUCCUUACCAGGAUUUGAACCCGGGACCAUCAGCUUCGUAGGCAGGGUCACUACCCACUAGGCCAAACCGGUCGUCAAAGAAUAGUUUAUAGACAUUUUUCAGAAGUCUUGUACAUUCAUUUAUUAAGAAAUGAAAUGUACAUUUAAGUACUUUAGUAGUAAAUUCGCUAGGGACCUCAUACUGUCACUGUGACAAGGUACGUAACGGUACUGAAAUUGACCAUACCUCCGUACUUGUAACCUCGAAGUGAAAUUUUCAAAACCGCCUUCCGCUUGUCGCGGGUCAAAGAUUAACGUUCGCCUAUUGUAUUGUUACUUUAAUGGACUUAUAUUCGCAAUUUCAAGCCACGUCGCAGCGAGGAGUUUUAUCGUUUGCCAAUUGGUCAUAGCAAAUCGGUUAGAACCACUGCACUGGCAGUAUUAUCACGUAAUGUAUGAGUUAAAGUGCAGAGUAAGUAAUAGUAAUAUAAUUUCAGACGUAUUGAAUAGUAUUGGACCCGGGUAUGUCCUUAAACUACGUCCAAAAGAGAGGUAUGGGCAUUGUGAAUGUCAUCUCGCCUUGUGUGGUAGGGCACAGCACAGUGGAUGUCAUUCCAGAUCUAGAGCAGAGCCCAACUGGGGAAGUACCUCCACCUUACAGAAAACCGCAGCCAAAUAACACUAGACCCUAC